CCCGCACAAGCGGUGGAGCAUGUGGUUUAAUUCGAAGCAACGGCGAAGAACCUUACCAGGUCUUGACAUCCUUUGACCACUCUAGAGAUAGAGCUUCCCCUUCGGGGGCAAAGUGACAGGUGGUGCAUGGUUGUCGUCAGCUCGUGUCGUGAGAUGUUGGGUUAAGUCCCGCAACGAGCGCAACCCUUAUUGUUAGUUGCCAUCAUUCAGUUGGGCACUCUAGCAAGACUGCCGGUGACAAACCGGAGGAAGGUGGGGAUGACGUCAAAUCAUCAUGCCCCUUAUGACCUGGGCUACACACGUGCUACAAUGGGAAGUACAACGAGUUGCGAAGUCGCGAGGCUAAGCUAAUCUCUUAAAGCUUCUCUCAGUUCGGAUUGCAGGCUGCAACUCGCCUGCAUGAAGCCGGAAUCGCUAGUAAUCGCGGAUCAGCACGCCGCGGUGAAUACGUUCCCGGGCCUUGUACACACCGCCCGUCACACCACGAGAGUUUGUAACACCCGAAGUCGGUGAGGUAACCUUUUGGAGCCAGCCGCCUAAGGUGGGAUAGAUGA
rnacentral:rRNA from 1 species